GGGUGCAAACGUUGUUCGGAAUUACUGGGCGUAAAGCGCGUGUAGGCGGCCCUGCAAGUCGGGUGUGAAAUCCCACGGCUCAACCGUGGAAGUGCACUCGAAACUGCAGGGCUAGAGUCCUGGAGAGGAAGGUGGAAUGCUUGGUGUAGAGGUGAAAUUCGUAGAUAUCAAGCGGAACACCGGUGGCGAAGGCGGCCUUCUGGACAGUGACUGACGCUGAGACGCGAAAGCGUGGGGAGCAAACAGG
rnacentral:rRNA from 1 species